rnacentral:rRNA from 1 species
GGGGGGGGGGGGGGGGGGGGGUGGGGGGGGGGGGUGGGGGGGGGGGGCAGUAAGAGCGUGGUGUUGCGGGUGGCGAGGGGGGGGCGGGGGAGGAAUACAUCGGGGUCUAGUUUUUCGGGGGGGAUAAGGUGGGGAAACGUACGCUAGUACGGCAUGCGCCAUACGGUUGAAAGAAGGGGGGCUUCGGACCUGUGGCGGUUCAAUGCGGCGAGGUGGAGUUAGCUGGUGGGGGGGGUAAGGGCCCACCAAGGCGACGUUCCGUAGCUGGUCUGAGAGGAGGAUCAGCCACACUGGAACUGAGACACGGUCCAGACUCCUACGGGAGGCAGCAGUGGGGAAUAUUGGACAAUGGGCGCAAGCCUGAUCCAGCCAUACCGCGUGGGUGAAGAAGGCCUUCGGGUUGUAAAGCCCUUUUGUUGGGAAAGAAAAGCAGCAGGUUAAUACCCCGCUGUUCUGACGGUACCCAAAGAAUAAGCACCGGCUAACUUCGUG